GCUGGUGCUUCUUACAGGCAAUUCCUAACUCUUGGGUUUUGUAGAGGGUCCGAAACUCCUUAGAACCUAUAAUUCAAGGAAAGCCUCCACUUUGGUUUUGCAUUUUGUUUGGUCUCUUUGGGUGACAGAAUUUAUGUCACAAGGUGCACAUGUUUUGGGAAGGCUCAUGGACAGCCCAUCGCUCUUGUGCUUUGGAAGGAAGUAUGUGCGGUUAAGGGGAAGGAGUUAGUUACUCAUCUAGGGAACAAUUGGGUAGAAAGAGAUGGACUCCCUGUAUUUGAAAUUCAGAACUCAAGCCAGGCUCUAAGUGUUUCCUUGCUUUGCUGUGCUCCAGGGGAGUCACUGAGCAGAAGGAAGCUAGUUGCCUGAGAUUCCUCAAAGCCCGCAGCCCUUUUGGAGGUUACAUUGUUAUUCUCAGAGCCUUUAUGAUGCAUAAUAAAGACCUAGCUUGGACCAACAUUA
rnacentral:lncRNA from 1 species